rnacentral:rRNA from 1 species
AACUAACGCUGGCGGCGUGCCUAACACAUGCAAGUCGUACGAGAAAGUUGGCUUCGGCCGAUGAGUAAAGUGGCGCACGGGUGAGUAAUGCGUGGAUAAUCUGCCCUUUAGUUGGGAAUAACGUACCGAAAGGUGCGCUAAUACCUGAUAAUACUGCAUAACUACUGUUGUGUAGUCAAAGAAGGCCUCUGUUUACAAGCUUUUGCUGAAGGAUGAGUCCGCGUACCAUUAGCUGGUUGGUGGGGUAAUGGCCUACCAAGGCUACGAUGGUUAGCUGGUCUGAGAGGAUGAUCAGCCACACUGGAACUGAGACACGGUCCAGACUCCUACGGGAGGCAGCAGUGAGGAAUAUUGCGCAAUGGGCGAAAGCCUGAUCCAGCGACGCCGCGUGGAGGACGAAGCCCUUCGGGGUGUAAACUCCUUUUCUCAGGGAAAAAGGAUGAUGGUACCUGAGGAAUAAGCCCCGGCUAACUACGUG